ACGGAGGGUGCAAGCGUUACUCGGAAUCACUGGGCGUAAAGGGUGCGUAGGCUGGCUUCUAAGUCAGAUGUGAAAUCCAAUGGCUCAACCAUUGAACUGCAUUUGAAACUGGGAGCCUAGAGUUCAGAAGGGGCAGAUGGAAUUAGUGGUGUAGGGGUAAAAUCCGUAGAUAUCACUAGGAAUAUCAAAAGCGAAGGCGAUCUGCUGGGAUGAUACUGACGCUGAGGCACGAAAGCGUGGGGAGCAAACAGG
rnacentral:rRNA from 1 species